rnacentral:lncRNA from 1 species
UGAUCUUUGGCUGUGGAAGAUUGGGUUUAAGUCCAUGAGGAACUUAGACACCAUUUGGAGAAUAUUUGGUUGAGACAGUAACUCCAAAGUUACCACAGUAACUUUGGAGAGUUACCACAGUAAGAGAACACAAAACUCUUAAGAGAAGAAGACAAAACUCUUAAGAGAAGAAGACAAAGGAGAGGCUGGUGAAACUCUUAAGAGAAGAAGACAAAGGAGAGGCUGGCGAGUGACAGGCUGGAAAGGAGAGUCCCUUGCUGUAAAGUAAAAGCAAAAGGAGACCAUGUAUCUAGCAAACAAAGUGGGCAGAUUCAUGGGAGCCUUUAGCUAGCCAAUAAGGAGCCAGCCUUCCCUUGACAUGAUUCAAAUGGACCAAUUAUCCAUCAGGAAGAGCACAUCCACGACCAAGAUCAUCUUUCCAUCUCAUCAUCCAUUUAAAUUCAAGUUAUAACAGCCCUUAGAUUUAGGUUUAUGAUUGCAAGUUGUAAAGAGCAUAUAUAAGCUCAUAAGUGCUGUUUCGUAAGUCUUAAGUGAGUAAGGGGGAUUUCCCCUCCUCCUUCAUAAUCUCAUGAUACUUUGUCUCUCUAAACUCUCUAUUCUCUCAUUCUGAAUCUCUAUACACGUUCUCAGACUUGUUACCAAUCUCUUAGACACAUAAACACUCUUUAGUCUCUCUUCUUCUCAAAUCGCUCCCAAGCUCUCUCUCUUUACCCAUUUGGGU